UAGGGAAUCUUCGGCAAUGGACGAAAGUCUGACCGAGCAACGCCGCGUGAGUGAAGAAGGUUUUCGGAUCGUAAAACUCUGUUGUUAGAGAAGAACAAGGACGUUAGUAACUGAACGUCCCCUGACGGUAUCUAACCAGAAAGCCACGGCUAACUACGUGCCAGCAGCCGCGGUAAUACGUAGGUGGCAAGCGUUGUCCGGAUUUAUUGGGCGUAAAGCGAGCGCAGGCGGUUUCUUAAGUCUGAUGUGAAAGCCCCCGGCUCAACCGGGGAGGGUCAUUGGAAACUGGGAGACUUGAGUGCAGAAGAGGAGAGUGGAAUUCCAUGUGGAGCGGUGAAAUGCAUAGAUAUAUGGAGGAACACCAGUGGCGAAGGCGGCUCUCUGGUCUGUAACUGACGCUGAGGCUCGAAAGCGUGGGGAGCAAACAGG
rnacentral:rRNA from 1 species